AGGGAUUUUUUUUUUUUUAGGAACAGGUGUUUAAGGAGUUAUAUAACAUAUUUGCAGAUUUUACAUGUACUUAUACUUUUAUAUUACACUCCGUCUCUUAAAAAUAUCUCUGUAUAUUAUACAUUUAUUUUAUGUAGAUCUGUUUAUCUUAUUUAUUUUUUCAAUUUAUUUUGUCAUAAGACCUGUGAUAAAUUAAUCAUAUCCAAUUGUUAUAAUAAUUUUUUUUUAAUAAACCAAUAUUUUUUCACCUAAUCUGUCCAACUUUUUAUUUGAUUUUUUUUUUUUACUUGAGCAAGUAGAAUAUAAUAUACGAUUUUGUUGAGUGAAGUAUUGUUUCAACAUAUGUAUUAAAAAAAUUAAUUAUAUUUGCAUGUAUGUGUUUAUGUUUUCUUGCGUACAUUUAAAUGUGUAUUUCAGUCGUUUUAUAACCCAUAGGUCGGAUUUAGACGAAUUUGUUUUUAUCAUGCAUAUCUUGGUUGAUAUAGUAGGGUAGCACUGUAUCAGAUGUGUUAAUAACAUAGAUGUCAUUCUGUCAGGUAGUACUUUAUACUAGUGCUUUGUGAAAAUUAAAACAGAUCUUUAUUUACCAAGGAACUGCAUGUUUAAUAUUUAUAUGGAAAUUAUGCAAAAUUGCUUUAAGACACUCUUCCUGAUCCAGAAUGUGAUCAAAUUACAAUGUUUUUGUUUUGCUCAUAUUAUGUUUUCGCUGACAGAUAAAGAAACAUUUUAAUAUCAG
rnacentral:sRNA from 1 species